GCAGAAGCGCUGCUCCACCCCAAGUCCAUCAAUGAGUACGGUAGUACAGACAUGGCCCAUGGAGGGUGAAAGGCCCGUUCGGGUGGAGAUUCGGCAGGCCAGUGCUUCUCUGGGUAGACCUUGGAGUCGGGUUGUUUGUGAAUGCAGCCCAAAGUGGGUGGUAAACUCCAUCCAAGGCUAAAUACAAGCACGAGUCCGAUAGCGAACAAGUACCGUGAGGGAAAGUUGAAAAGUACUUUGAAGAGAGAGUUAACAGUGCGUGAAACCGCUCAGAGGUAAGCAGGUGGAGUUGAACUGCAAGCUUUGAGAAUUCAGCUGGUGAGGUUGGUUUGGGCUUGGUCAAAUUGGUUGGGCCCCGAAGUACGUUAAACCACGUGUCCUUUCCCUUUGGGUUGGGAUGUGCGAUACACUUACCAAGUGUUGCACGCUUUGGGUGUUCAUCGAGCCUCCUUGUCAGUGCACUUUCUCAGAGUGGUCACCACGACCGACGCCGCUGUCAGGCUGUCAUAGUUAAACCGGUCUUGAGUGUCCUUGUGGCAUUGCCUGGUCGGGAUGGCAGGUAGCUUGUUGGCUCGCUUCGGCUUGCUUUCGAGUGUAAUCAGCUGACUGUGACGGUUCUGUGCAGUGCGUCGGAGACGGCGGCCAGUGGUGUGUGCAUGCGUGCCCGAUUUGUUGGCGUACCCUGGUUUGGUUUCUGUGUUGCCUGUGAUAGCAGGCCUAGUUAUGGCUGGGGUUCGUUCGGCGAAUGGUUGCGUGUGUGGCACUUCCAAGGGCCAAUAGUCUGUGGUGUAGUGGUAGACUAUCCACCUGACCCGUCUUGAAACACGGACCAAGGAGAGUAACAUGUACGCGAGUCUAUUGG
rnacentral:rRNA from 1 species